AUCUCUUUCGCUAUAUCCUAAAAGAGAGAGAGAAAAAAAAACCCCCAAUUCGCCGUCUCCACCUUCUCUCAGCAGAAACCAUCCAACGGCUGCAAAUCGCUACAACAGUCCCUCCGCCCAUAGGCUCCCUCCCUCCCUUCCUCUCUCCCUCCCUCUCAAAACCCUAGAAAACGUCUUAUAAUCUCUUACCAUUGAUUUUCCUCAAUGACGGAUCGCAGCUCUGCUGUCGCGGUUCGCCCGAUCUGGAUGAAGCAGGCUGAGGAAGCGAAGCAAAAGAACGAAGCGGAGAAAGCUGCGGCCGCGAAAGCCGCCUUCGAGGCCACGUUCAAAGCCGUUGACAAGACAGCCGAGAAGCCGCCCGCCGAUGACUCGUCCGACAGCGAUGCUGAGGACGAGUCGGAGGAUAUCAAGAACAAGCCCGUGGGCCCCGUCGACCCCUCCAAGUGCACCGCCGCGGGCGCCGGCAUUGCUGGCGGCACUGCCUGCGCCCCUUCGUCGUUCGUCAUCACCACCAAGGACUCGGACGGGAGGAAGAUCCUGACGGGGGGCGCACAGAUGAAGGUCAGGAUAUCGCCGGGCGUCGGUGUCGGUGGGCCUGAUCAGGACGGGAUGUUGAAGGACUUGGGCGACGGGACCUACACAGUGACAUAUGCAGUCCCAAAACGGGGGAAUUAUAUGGUUCACGUGGAGUGCAAUGGGCGGCCCAUUAUGGGCAGUCCGUUCCCAGUGUUCUUUAGCGCAGGCACGCCGGGCGCGGGGCUGCUUGGGACUCCCACCCAGUCACCGUUCCCGAACCUCGUGAAUCAGACCAUGCCAAACAUGCCAAAUUAUGCUGGGUCAGUCUCCGGGGCCUUCCCUGGCCUGCUGGGGAUGAUCCCGGGUGUCCUCAAUGGUGCCUCCGGGGGUGCGAUCUUGCCGGGGGUCGGGGCAUCGCUGGGGGAAGUUUGUCGUGAGUAUCUGAAUGGACGGUGUUCAAAGAGCGAUUGCAAGUUCAACCACCCACCACACAAUCUACUAAUGACAGCGUUGGCCGCAACGACCACUAUGGGGACAUUGAGCCAGGUGCCGAUGGCACCUUCUGCAGCUGCAAUGGCCGCGGCCCAGGCGAUUGUGGCUGCACAGGCCCUUCAGGCCCAUGCUGCGCAGGUGCAGGCGCAAGCACAGACUGCUGUGGAUUCGGGUUCACCUGACAAAGCUGGGAAGGCUGAUGCCCUAAAAAAAACACUUCAAGUUAGCAAUCUCAGUCCCCUUCUUACAGCAGACCAGCUGAAACAGCUUUUUAGCUACUGCGGUACUGUUGUUGAAUGCAGCAUUACGGAUUCAAAGCAUUUUGGUUACAUUGAAUACUCAAAGCCAGAAGAAGCUACAGCUGCUUUGGCACUGAACAACAUGGAUGUUGGGGGCCGUCCAUUGAAUGUCGAGAUGGCAAAGUCCCUUCCUUCAAAAACAGCUAUUGGGAACCCUAUGCAUCAGUCGUCUCUACCUAUGGUCAUGCAGCAGGCAGUUGCCAUGCAACAGAUGCAGUUUCAGCAGGCUUUGAUGAUGCAACAAACAAUGGCUUCGCAGCAGGCUGCUAGCAGAGCAGCAACAAUGAAGUCUGCAACUGAGAUGGCAUCUGCCAGAGCUGCAGAAAUCAGUAAAAAGUUAAAAGCAGAUGGGGUGGGGAAUGAAGAUAAGGAAGGGGCUCAAAAGUCCAGGUCGCCAUCCACCUCUCGCCCGAGAUCAAAGUCCAGAUCAAGAUCACCCAUCAAGUACCGGCGCAGCCGACGGUCUCGCUCCUUUUCACCUCCAGUUCGGUACCCAAGAGAUCGGAGAUCCAGAUCACCAUUCAGAUCUCGCCAUCACAAGAAUCAUGUUAACGAACGACGACCAUAUAGAGAUGUUAGGGAUAGCUAUAGCAGAGGUGGUCGACGGAACUGGGAUCGGGAACGGGAACUGGAACAGGAAAGAUCACGGGAUCACUAUUCUUCUGUUUCAAGGAGACACAGAAGUAGGAGUAUGAGUCCUCGGACAAGAAGAUCAUCUUGGGCUGGUUCGGCAUCUCCAAAGCGUCAUAGAGAAAGUGUGAGUCCUAGAAUGAGAAAAUCAUCUCGGGCUGCUUCGAAAUCGCCAAGGCAUCACAGAGAAAGUAGAUCUUCUCCAAGACGUAACCAUGAGCCCACCUCUCAUCGUAGUAGGCGCUCCAGAUCUAAAUCUGCAGAGGGUAGACGUCGAUCUGAUGAUGCCAAAGAUAUGGGAAAGUCUGGAAAGCCAAAACAGGAUCAUGGAAAACUUGCUAAAAGUAGGGAUGACGUUGCAGAGCCCGAUCUUUUUGUAAAGGAUCCGGAAGACUCAAUGGAAGGUAGAACCACAGAUUCACCUACACCAACUCAUAAAGAGAGCUCCUUGUUUCCUGAAGACAGAGCCUUAAAAGAUGAGAAAGAUGUAAGUAAAUCUGCAGAGGGUAGGCAUUAUUCUGAUGAUGUAAAGGAUACAAAGAAGUCUGGAAGGUCAAAACCGGAUCACAGGGAACUCAACAAAAGUAGGGAUGUUGAGGAGCCCGAUCUUGUUGCGAAGGAUCCAGAAGACCUGAGGGAAGAUGGAGCCACAGAUUUGCCCACACCGACUCAUAAAAAGAGCCCCUUGUUGCCUGAAGACAGAGCCUUCAAGGAUGAGAAAGAUGCAAGUAAACAUGAAACGUGUGGAUUUGAUGAUGGAAAUUCUGCGAAAACUGAGGCUGCCAUUAAGAAUGAAGAUCUUCUUGAGAACAGCUCAAUGGAUUUGCUUGAAGAUAAAAGAUCUGCAAGUCCACCAAUAUCUAAAUCUCGCAAGGAAAGCUCAGCAUCUGCAGGAGACAGACCCCGUACUGGUAGUGAUGAUUUAGGCAGGCGCAAUAAGUCGUCCCGAGAGUAUAGAAAACGUGAGAGAAUUGAUUCCAUAAGGGAACAAGAUUCUCUUGCUGAUGAUUUAAGCAGGCGUGAUAAGUUGUCCCCGGAGUAUAGAAAACGUGAGAGAACUGAUUCUGUAAGGGAACAAGAUUCUCUUGUUGAUGGUUUAGCCAGGCGUGAUAAGUUGUCCCCGGAGUAUAGAAAACGUGAGGGGGCUGACUCCACUAGGGAACGGGAUUCUCUUGUUGAUGAUUCCAAAUAUUCAAGGGAAGAUAGGAGGGCUUCAGAUUCCUCAAAGUCAAGAUCUCACAGGAGAAGCUUAAAACCUUUGGAGGACGGAUCCUCUAGGGGCAAGGAUGAUCGGAACAGGCGGGAAGAGUCAAAACGGGAGUACGUAAAACAUGAUAAAACUCAUACUGUCAGGAAGGAACGUAAUUAUCUUGACUAUGACUCAUCAGAUUCAAGGGAGGACAGGAAAGUGAGUUCAUCAAAGCGAAAGACCCAUGUGAGAAGUUCCCCAUCACUGGAGGAUGGAACUUCCAGGGAUCGAAACAGGCGGGAAGAGUCAAAGCGGGAGCAAGUAAAACAUGAGAAAACUCGCCCUGUCACGAAGGAACGUGAUUAUCUCGAAUAUGACUCGUCAGAUUCAAGGGAGGACCGGAGAGUGAGCUCUUCAAAGCGGAAGACCCGUACAAGAAGUUCCCCAUUACUUGAGGAUGGUACUUCCAGGGAUCGAAGGGAUCGAAAGGAUCGUAAUAGGCACGAAAUGUCGAGACGGGAGACCAGGAAAUCUGCAAGAACUGAUCACUCCACCAAGAUGGAGGAUUUUAAUGAUGGCAAUUUGGAGGGAUCAAGGCAAGAUGAGAAGGUUCCAUAUUCCUCAAAGUUGACUACUCAGAAAAGAGAUUCAAUGUCCGAGGACGAUGUAACCUCUAUGGAUGUGAAGGAUCUCAGUGGGUGUGAAGUGGCAGACAGAAAGCUUGCUAAGACAGAUUCAAUUAUCAAGGAACAGGAUUGCAUUGGCCAGGACUCAGCUGAUCUGACAGGUGACAGGGUUUCAGAUUUCCCAGAGUUGAUGGUUCAAGGAAGUUCGACACCAGAUGGUGGGCGGUCUAGGGGUGCAAAAGGUCGAAGCAGGCAUGAGAAGUCAAUGUCAGAGCAGGGCAAGUUUGAGAAAACUUGCAAUGUCAAGGGACGAGAUUACAGUGAUGAUGAUUCAGUAGACUCCAGAGAAGAGGACAGGAAGGCUGCAAAAUCUCCAAUUUCAAAGGCUCAGAAGAGAAGUUCGAUGUCGCCAAAGGAUAGGAACUCUAUGGGCACAGAAGACGAAAAGCCUCGUAAAAAGCCUAAACUGGAGCAUGAAUCUGUCUCUGGUUUUGGAGUUUCACUGGCCAGAGAUGAUGAUGAGUAUGGCUUUCAUGACGGAAGCCCAAGUCUGCAUGUGGGGAAUUACCAGGAUUCUGCUAAACUCAGUUCACCAAGUCCAAGUUCGAAUGAUCAUGUCUAGUUUUUUAAGAACUAACAUGAUGGAAGUUCUGCAAUGAAUUUCCACUGGUACUUGUGACUUUGCUGUGGUCUUUCCUGUUUCCCUAAAUUUGUGCCUGUGUUUGCUCUUUUUGCAGGUCCAUGAAGAACUGGAAUGAGAAUCUUGAUUGGUUCGAGUAUUUUUGAGGACUAUCUUGCUCCCUGCAUCUGGGAUUGUGCUGGAUUCUAUUUAAUGAAAAUGUUAUAACUGCUUAAUGUAUGACAGAAAAUGCAUUUCACUUGGCUGGGGGUGUCUGCUGUAAAUAAGUCGCUCGUUGAUUGAUUUUUUGGAGGGAGGAAUCAAGCGAUUCUUUUGCUGAGGGUGCUGUUUUAUGAGAGACCAAAGUGAAUGCUCGGCUUCAUAUAUCUGUUGAUCAUGUAAGAAUUCAAUAGCUUAUGACGAUGAUGCGUGAGAAGGCUAAACCUACACCAUAGGUGUUUACUUGAUGGAUUUCCAUUGGAGCUUUUUAGAGCAAGUUGGCAGACUUCACCUUCUCUGAUUGUGGCAGUAAGGGUAAGCAUAUGGAGGAAGGGGGUCCAAAAGGAGAAGCCCUGGGCCCUUUUGGGCUGCCAGUUGAUGGACUUUAACACCCCCUUGCACGUGCAUGCUCGCGCUUGUGUAAUGUUCAGUAAAUAGUUUUUCAAGUGGUCCCAGCUCUGGAGGUGUAGGCUUCUCUCUCUGUUCUUGGAUUUGACCCCAUAUAGUACAGGGCUUUUAUUGAAAGAGAAGCUCAUUGCUUCCUGCCUGAGUGGCAAAUGAUGUAUUAUUCCUUUCGAUAUAUUCAUUCCAUCACAUCAAAUGGGAGCUUCACCUUUGAUGCUGGUUUUUAUUGAGAAAAUAUGAGCUUGCAUUAUGAUAAUCCAUAAAGCAAGAUGUGUGCUGAUUUUGUGACAUAA